CAGUUUUAGAGGUUUACUUGAAACGGUAGCCUCGUCUCCUGUUCAGUUUAUUAAUAUUUGACCAUUGAAAAGUAUCUUUUCCUUAAAUUGCUUCUCUGCGUAAAACCAUUUACUAAAAUAUUAACAACGUAGCCAUUUCUCUUCCUACCAAGUCAUUCCGGGACAGAAAGAUCAUCUUGAAUGGGCAGGAGGCUUUGUAAACUCAAAGAGCUGAUCAACGUUUGACUUUUUCCAAGUUCCCAUAUCUUUAAUUCAAUGGCGCUGCUGGUGCACUUUUCCCAGCACAUCCCUCCUCCGUCUCAGCUGGCGAGAUAGCUGCAGAGGCUGAAACUGCGCCGGAGGGAGGAAAUGAUUAUAGCAAAAGGGAAUGCGUUAUCACUUUGUCCCCCUUGCGCACACCCUCUCAACCAGUUCAAUGUUGUUCAUAUUGAGCUCCUUAUCUGUGCGAUGAGAAACGAAGCACAUUUCAGAACUUGGACGACAACGACUCGUGUCCUCCGCAUCGCCGAGCGCUUCCCCAUCAAACGCUGCUCUCCGGAGGAAGCUGAUCCAGCUGUUGUUGGCCUUUGAUGCCCUUCGUCGGUCCAGAAUAGCCUGCGACUCGCAGCUGUAGCCGAAGCUUCUCACCUGCCUGUUGGUUCACUUCAGCUUUUCAUCCGUCUGCCUCAAAUAAAGCGCCCUUCACCUGGAUGAGACGGGAACCGUGAAGUGUAAAUCCGUUCAGCACUACUUUGUGGAGUUAUGCUAAGUCCAACCCCAAUGUUUGUCCUGAAGUGGCCUUGUUGCCUGAACCUUGAGCUCACAAUGUUGACCACACGUUUACUGCAUUGCGCUGCAGAGGACGAAUGAGGACGUUUUUGGUUAUUGUUGUCUUUUUCUUCCCACAUGAAUAUAUUUAGACAUGUGGUUUGAAGACGGUAAAAGCACCUGAAUUUCAGGGUUUGAGGCCUGAAGAGACUGCUUCUUGGCUAAUGUCAAGCUAGUCACACAGCAGUUAGAUUAUGAUGUUAAAGGUCUACUCCGCCCACCCCAACCCUGCACAUUUCCUCGGCACCUAACUUGUUGUAUAGAAACAGUAUAUAGUAUCUCAGUUUAUAUGCAAUGCUUAGUUUGUGCAUUUUGGCUCUCUGGGGUUGUAUAGAUGAUGUUGCGGCUCGCUUACCUCACUGUAUUCGUACUGAACUCCAAGGAACCCACCAGAAAGCAAACAUGUAGGUCAACAGUCCCCCUCACAUCUGAGAACACAUCGGUUUGACAGCCGGGACAGCAAAGGGCUGAGAGAGGAGCCGCACCUUGAAAGUCCUGGCAACUUUUCAUGUCUCGCAACCAGCCACAUGUGUCAAACUUCUCCUCCCACGCUGCACAUUUCACACAUUCCUCAAGAAUGUUUGCUUUUUUUACAAGGUCGGGAGAAUGAAUCCAAUGCCGCAUUGUGUCUCUCGCUUUGUGCAGCUCCCACUGUGAGACCAUUUCAACUUGUGCAAUUCCUUAUUCGCUGCAGUCAUCAGUUUU
ensembl:lncRNA